GAAUUGCGAUAAGUAAUGUGAAUUGCAGAUUUUCAGUGAAUCAUCGAAUCUUUGAACGCACCUUGCGCUCCUUGGUAUUCCGAGGAGCAUGCCUGUUUGAGUGUCAUUGAAUUUAUCAAAUCUCCCCCAUGUCUUGAUUUUCAUGGGCUUUUUGGACUUGGAAGUUGCUGGUGGCGAAAAUGCUGUCGGCUCUUCUGAAAUGCAUUAGCAAAGGACAGGCAAGUCUUUUUGACAUGCACGGCCUUCGAUGUGAUAAUGAUCGUCGUGGCUGGAGUGUUUGAGACAUUGCAUAAAUUGUCCAUGCUUCCAAUCCCUAGGCUAGUCUUGAGCUUUCAGUUGUUUCAGCUACUAGUCGGUCGUGAGGCUGACGAACGUCGGGCAACUUUGAUGGGGGGCCAGGCUUGUCUUUCUUUUUGAAACUUGACCUCNNAUCAGGUAGAACUACCCCCUGACCUUAA
rnacentral:rRNA from 1 species